GAAUCUGAAAGUAGCGCUGAGUAAAAGAGCCGUUCUUAAUCUUACAUGACGUUAAUGCUGAAACAGAAUUGCUCACCGAUGCAUCAACGCAUGUGUACGAGCCGAUGCUGAUGCAAAAAAUUCGUGAUGAUUGUAAAUGAUAUUCCCUCCAAAAUCGUAACCAAUCACCAAGCGUUGGCACUAAGAAUGCGAAAAAAGGACGCGUGUGUUCGUAUGGCUACGUGGGUGUUCUACCUUAAAGAUUUUGACUACACGUUAAAUAAAAAUAAACCUUUGAACGUAUAUUAAAAAUCCUAUAACAUGAGUAGGGUCUGCCUACUUGGAGAAUUUCUCAUCAGCGAUCUUGUGCGAUUGCGCUGUUCAUUGGCACCACCUGGAAUCGACUUCGGUAGGCAGAAAACACUCAAAGUAUGAAUCGAAUGCCCGGCGAGUAACUUAAUAUAUCGUGAGCAAUAUUCCGUGCAACAAGAAGUCGUUCCAGCCGACUUUUCCAGCUUAUCUCAAAUCUAUGCUAAUUUCGAUGAUGCAAUACCAUGUUUUU